rfam:Triticum aestivum genome assembly, contig: Triticum_aestivum_CS42_TGACv1_scaffold_001272_1AL
GUACUACUCCCUUCGUUCGGAAUUACUUGCCAUCAAAAUGAAUGUAUUUAGAACUAAAAUGCAUCUAGAUACAUCCAUUUCAAUGACGAGUAUUUCCGAACGGAGGGAGUACGUA